GAAUGACCUAAUUCAGAUAAGGACUUUCGGAGCGGCGCGCAGGAGGAGGGGGCCAGGAGGACAGACUGACGGACAGGGCUCCUCUCUUUCCUCGCAGAUGCUGGAGCAGCGCCUGACCUGGGAGAUCCGUGCCUUGCAGAGCAGCAAGGAGCAGCUGCUCACUGAAGAGAGACUGGCGCGGGCCAAGCUGGAACAGGUGGCACGGCUGCUGCGCUCGCCUCCUGGGGUCCAGGGCACCCCGGCAAUGCACGACGGGCUGCAGGCGGAGCUGGAGAAAGUCGGGGGGCACGUCCCCGCCCAAACCAACGGCACCGCAGAGGGAGGGGCCGGCCACGGAGAGGUGGAGCCCUGGGGUGGAGGCGAGGCGCUGGGGUGUCCCUGGAGGCCGUCUGAGAGGGAUGUGUGGGGAGCUUGGCGCCCGGGGGGCAGUGGGAAGGGGACAGGGGCCGGGCAGCCACCAGGGCGCUCCGGAUCCCCGCCCCGCAGCCUGACUCCUGACUUCCGCAGGCUGGCCCCCAGCGCCCCCGCGCCCGCCACGAGGACGACCUGGAGAGGCCGGGGAGCUGGCCCUGACGCCCCCUCUAGGCCAGAAGGACCCCCCCCACCCCACCCCCGCGGGUCCCCACCUUCCUUCAAGGCCUGCCAAGAAAUAAAGGCGAUGAUCGCGGACCGUCCUCCACCUCCGGGGCUGAGUCUGUGCUCCAGGAGUGGUUGGAGGUGGGGGGCCGUCCCUAGCUCCUUGGGGAGGACAGGGGUUUGGGGGGAGAAGGAGGGGACUCGGGAGGUGGGAGGGGUCCCGGGCACCCUCAGUCUCCUGGCCAGCUCCCGCAGAAGCUCAAUAGAUGUUCCUGAGCCGCUCAGUGAAUGAGCAGGGGUUGAGGAGGUCGCUAUGUCUCCACGGCCUCAUCUCAGGUUCCGGAACCGUCUGUUUUACCCGCAACAGCCGGGGAGAACAUGUUAAAAACUUACGCGAGGUCCUGACGGUCUCCUCGGGUUCAGAGUCAAAUCCCAGCCUCCCAGAGUCCCUGCAUUCCCCCAGACUCCUGCUGACGCCCUGGACCCCUGGGCCCUGUCCGCCUGCCUGGGCUCCCCUCGCACGUUCGGUUCUGGUCGCACAGCUGCGUUCCCAUCCUUUCCUAAGCACCGUGGCAUCCCAGGGCCUUUGCCCUACUGUGUUCUUAGGUGGGGUGCCCUUCUUCCCGUCUCCUCAGACCGCAAGUCUGUGAAGGAUGGCAGCUGCUCCAGGGGCUGGCUGGCGGAGGGGGUAGGGGGGGUGGGCGGGGGGGCGGGGUCCAGUUCCAGGUGUCCCCGCUUACCAAGCAUGUAUGGAUGAAACAAGGCCCUGGGUUGUAACUAGCGUGGUCAGGGAAGGUCUCACUGAGGAAGUGAGUGGUGCCUGAGCAGGGAGGUGAGGGGGCAGGUGAGGCAGCGAGCACUGUGGGUGUCUGGAGAAGGUGCACCUGGCAGAGGGAGUGGGCGCUCAAAGGCUGUGAGGUGGGACUGAGCUUCCUUGUGUUGGAGGAGCUUCUGGAGGGGGCCAGUGUGGUGGAGCAGAGUGAGGUGAAGAGGGCAGGGAGAUAAUAGCGGAGAAUUGCUGGGGACCCAGUCCACUUGGGCCCUGUCUGUCUAGUCUGUGCAGUAUUCCAGGAACAGGACCUGGCACGCAGCAAACCCUCAGUAAAUGUCCGCUAACACUUAUCAUGAUGAUGAUUCAUUUUUAUUCCCAAUCCAUCGGUGAGGGAAACUGAGGUGUGUGAGGCACUUAACAGGGGCUUGUAAUCUAAGUGUUUAAUAAAUGGUUCAUUUAAUUUAUUAUUAUUGUUGUU
rnacentral:lncRNA from 1 species